rnacentral:rRNA from 1 species
UUGGAGGGCAAGUCUGGUGCCAGCAGCCGCGGUAAUUCCAGCUCCAAUAGCGUAUAUUAAAGUUGUUGCAGUUAAAAAAGCUCGUAGUUGAAUUUUAGGCCUGGUUGGACGGUCUGCUCUAGGGUUUGUACUGUCCUGACUGGGUCUUACCUUCUGGUGAGCUGUCGUAUUGUUUACACAGUGCGGCAGGGAACCAGGACUUUUACUUUGAAAAAAUUAGAGUGUUUAAAGCAGGCAUUCGCUUGAAUACAUUAGCAUGGAAUAAUAGAAUAGG